rnacentral:misc_RNA from 1 species
GAUUCACUGAGCGAUAUACAGCCUGCGAGCAACUUUGCGAAAGUUUAAAAGCGUGCGUUUUUCUCGAUAUUGCUGGUAAGAUUAAGAUAUUUAGUAAUCGAUAAUAGUCGACAGACUAUCGGGGGAUCAUUUAGCGUUUAUAACGUAAAAAAUAUAUAUCGAUAAGAGGUCGGAAUUGACUGACAAACAGGGCGGCGUCACUUGACGCUCUCCUAGAUUUUGGCGCACAGCUGCGAUAGCGUCGAUUCGGUAUACGUGGCGUCAUUCGUUUCUGCACACGUGUUGCGCUAAGAAGGUUUGUAAAGAAUUUAGACGGCGCCAUAUUGACGCUGAUUGAUGACAGCAUUGGCCAAUUUGGCCUUAGUGGUACCGUAUAGCUGGCCUGUCGCGCACCAUUCGUUCAAAGUUCAUUCCUGCAUAGCGUCAUCAAAUAUCUCGGUUUGUAUGGAACGUUUUUCUCUUUGUGUUUGUCGCUCUGUUGUUUGUCAAAGCGUUUGGAUGAAAACGAAGCUUGUCCGAACUCGCCUCGCCCAUUUUUGGCUAAGUCCCGACCUCGUUUCGCAGCGACGCCUGUGCGUCUGCGCUGUUUUUCAUCGAUUUUUCUUUCUGCCAAAAAAAGCCGCCGUCGCUCUUUUUUCUCUUUUAUUGCGUACUUUAUCAAGCCUAACCGAACGCCUUAAAACUCUAUUCUGUUAUGUAACGAGGUUAGCCGAUUCGUUCGUAACGCUCCGGGUAGAAAAUACCAUUACACAGACGAAAACGUACCCACUCUGCAAGGAUGAGUACCACCCUAGCUAAGGAGAGACUCAGGGAUUUAUUUAGCGAGACGCUUCUAACGCUCUGUCGCUCUAAUAUGAUUACGGAUAUGUUCCCCAAUUUUAGGGUUGAAGCUCUCAUAGGCCUUACUUUGCAUACAACAAAUAAGGAAGACGACGUCAUAUUGAUCAAUAUUAACCAGGAUAUUAAGAGCGGAAAGGCUAAGCAUAAACAAACGCCGACCCGCAGUAAAGGGCCCUAUUCUCUGUUAAGCGGAAUGCCGGCUGACUACUCUUAUAUGCAUCCUGUGACGGAUGCGGGCGUUCCUGAAGGAUUUUACACACAGAACGUGAGCGUCACUGAUCCAUCGGGUGGUGAACGAAUAGUGAAAGUUGAGCAAUGUGAACCUUGCGAUUUAUCGACGCCGCCCCGUGGCACGCCCAAAUCUAAUAAAGAAAAGAAGUCAAUUGACAAAGUUGUAGAAGAGUUAAGUGAAAAGAAAGAAGGAAAUGAUAAAAGUGAGGAAGCAACGCCCACGAAGAACGAUUGUUCAUCUGAUACUAGUUCUGAAAAACCUACACCGGCUAAGGCUAGAAGCAGCAAAAGAAAGGCCAUGCCAAUGAAAAAUAUGAAGACUGACCAGGAACAAACACAAGAAGAAUCUUCGACAAAUGUUUAUGCCGCGUUUAAUUCGACUCCAGUUUUCCCUGGACACGACUUUAACGACAAUACAAUUGACAAGCUUAACGGUCCAGCGGGGCGACCGAUGACGCCUACUCAUCAAGAGCCGAUGGAGCACGACGUUGAAUAUUCACCAGAAAACAUGCAAUUUUUAGCAACCUAUGGAACUGGAAAUCAACAAGUGUAUCCGAACUCUGAGCUGCUAAACUCUGACAGUUCACCAGAAGAUAUAGAGAGAUUUCGUAAAAUGUCCCCAGGAAAAGUAAGUAUAGUCAGUUUAGACACUAAGCUAAAAACAACUCAUCUCCUAAAAAGCUGGUAUAGAAACUUUAAAAAAAAUAACUUUUUUGCAUUACAAGGCUUUAUCGCUUAACUGGUAUUAGCAAAAGGUUGAGGUUCUUACUAACUAAGCUAACUCUUAAUAUUUUACCCCGUUUCAAAGAAUGCUGAGGAAGAGUGACACAGGUUUGGGCUUUUGUGAUGCAUGCGCCGUGUGUGUGUGUGUGUAAUUUUUUACGUUCCUUUAGCCCUCGGGCGUCACGUGUCUUUUUCCGCGUCGGAUUGUUGCGAUUUUUUAGAUGUAGCAUGUUGUGCUUCCCUGCUCUUUUCAAACAUUCACGUUAUUCCUUUAUUGUCAAAUAUUUUUCACAUAUAUUUGUUACCAUAUUAAAAAUGUUUUAGAUGAUGUGCCCUUAGGAUUUCAAGAAUCUUUAUUAAAUUUUUCUAUAACAUUACCUAAAAUUACGCCCAUACAGACCAAGCUCGCACAAAGGCAGCUGAGAAUGUAUGCAUGUAAACAGUGCAAUAAGACGUUUAAUCAUUCGAGUCACCUUAAGGAUCACAUUCGAAUACAUACAGGUGAAAAACCGUUUGCCUGCCAAGUAUGCAGAAAAGGAUUUCGACAAAAGCAGCACCUGAAAAAGCAUUUGCAAGUUCAUAAAGAAGAAAAUGCAGCAAACCAGACCGAGAAUCCUCCGACUUCAAUCGAUACAAAUUCGGGUGCUAUUGAAAAUAUGGCUUUUCCGGCCCCAGAAUUAGUUGAUGCAACUAUAACCUAAAAUGAUUGGAUUUAAAUAUCCUGUUUUUUUUCCAUGGGACGCUCUCCGACGUGCCAACUUUCUAUUAAUUACUUUCGAGAAACGCUUGCUCUAUGUAAAAGUUUUUAAUUAAAGUAGUGGAAUUCUUAUUGAAAAAAAAAGCGAGCGUUUAAGAAAAUUUUGCUAAAAUAUGCCUUAUAUUGUUUCGACUCAAAAAUUGAUCGUUAAUGAUCAUUUUGUUAGAGAGGAAAAUUGUACAUAAAAAUAUUUUGUUUCUGUACGAAGUAUAGCAGCGUCACAGCGUCUUUUACAAAUAGUCACAUAUUUACGUAAGUGUUGUAAAUUGACUAGCGUUUUUUUGGACAGAUUAAUGAAUGAAUUGUUAAAAUCUUGCAUAUUUUCUAGUCAGUAGAAAGACAAAUUUCUUUGUGUACGUAAUAUGUGCGAAGCGUUUUGGUUGUUUCACAUCUUUUUUUUCAUCCUCCAAUACUCACGCUGAAUUAUUAAAUGUGUAAAAUGUAGUAUAGUUCGUUUUUAGCUUCUGCCAAAGUAUCGUUAAAUUCGAUUGUUGCUUUUUAUCUGAAAAUGAUUUUUUCUUACGCUCUACCAAUACACUUUAACGUUUAUAUAAUCUA